CCCUUAGAUGUCCUGGGCUGCACGCGCGCUACACUGAUGUGUCCAGUAAGCACCUAACCUCUUCCGAAAGGAACGGGUAACCUUUGCAAAGCACAUCGUGAUGGGGAUAGAUUAUUGCAAUUAUUAGUCUUGAACGAGGAAUUCCUAGUAAGCACAAGUCAGCAGCUUGUGCUGAUUACGUCCCUGCCCUUUGUACACACCGCCGUCGCUCCUACCGAGGGGGUGAUCCGGUGAAUGAUUCGGACUCUGGUGCUUCUAGCUGCUAGAUGCGCCGGAGGAAGUUUUGUGAACCUUAUCACUUGGAGGAAGGAGAAGUCGUAACA
rnacentral:rRNA from 1 species